UCUCCGUUGGUGAACCAGCGGAGGGAUCAUUACUAGAAGCCGAAAGGCUGCUUCAAACCAUCGCGAACCUAUCCAUCAGCGUUGCUUCGGCGGGAGAAGGCUCCCGGGCGCCCCUCCGGGGUCCCGGGGGCCGGGGGAGCCGCGGCCUCCGGGCCGCGGGGACCCGCCCGCCGGAGGUACCGAACUCUUAUGUAAUCGCUGUGGCAUCUCUGAGUGGCAAGCAAAACAAGUCAAAACUUUCAACAACGGAUCUCUUGGUUCUG
rnacentral:misc_RNA from 1 species